GUCAGUGUGGUAUAGUGGCUUGAGCGUUGAACUACGACUCUGGAGAUCAGGGUUCGAUUUCCUGCUCGGCCA